AUUGAACGCUGGCGGCAGGCCUAACACAUGCAAGUCGAGCGGUAGAGAGGUGCUUGCACCUCUUGAGAGCGGCGGACGGGUGAGUAAUGCCUAGGAAUCUGCCUGGUAGUGGGGGAUGACGUCCGGAAACGGACGCUAAUACCGCAUACGUCCUACGGGAGAAAGCAGGGGACCUUCGGGACUUGCGCUAUCAGAGGAGCCUAGGUCGGAUGAGCUAGUUGGUGAGGUAAUGGCGCACCAAGGCGACGAUCCGUAACUGGUCUGAGAGGAUGAUCAGUAACACUGGAACUGAGACACGGUCCAGACUCCUACGGGAGGCAGCAGUGGGGAAUAUUGGACAAUGGGCGAAAGCCUGAUCCAGCCAUGCCGCGUGUGUGAAGAAGGUCUUCGGAUUGUAAAGCACUUUAAGUUGGGAGGAAGGGUACUUACCUAAUACGUGAGUAUUUUGACGUUACCGACAGAAUAAGCACCGGCUAACUCUGUGCCAGCAGCCGCCGUAACAC
rnacentral:rRNA from 1 species